rnacentral:rRNA from 1 species
CUCCAGACUCCUACGGGAGGCAGCAGUGGGGAAUAUUGCACAAUGGGGGGAACCCUGAUGCAGCGACGCCGCGUGGGCGAGGAAGUAUUUCGGUAUGUAAAGCCCUAUCGGCAGGGAAGAAGAAAUGACGGUACCUGAAUAAGAAGCACCGGCUAAAUACGUGCCAGCAGCCGCGGUAAUACGUAGGGGGCAAGCGUUAUCCGGAUUUACUGGGUGUAAAGGGGGCGCAGACGGCAGCGCAAGCCAGGAGUGAAAGCCCGGGGCCCAACCCCGGGACUGCUCUUGGAACUGCGCGGCUGGAGUGCAGGAGGGGCAGGCGGAAUUCCUGGUGUAGCGGUGAAAUGCGUAGAUAUCAGGAGGAACACCGGUGGCGAAGGCGGCCUGCUGGACUGCGACUGACGUUGAGGCUCGAAAGCGUGGGGAGCAAGCAGGAUUAGAUACCCGCGUA